rnacentral:rRNA from 1 species
AGAGUUUGAUCAUGGCUCAGGAUGAACGCUGGCGGCGUGCCUAACACAUGCAAGUCGAACGGGAAUCUUCGGAUUCUAGUGGCGGACGGGUGAGUAACGCGUAAGAAUCUAACUUCAGGACGGGGACAACAGUUGGAAACGACUGCUAAUACCCGAUAUGCCGCAAGGUGAAACCUAAUUGGCCUGGAGAAGAGCUUGCGUCUGAUUAGCUAGUUGGUGGGGUAAGAGCCUACCAAGGCGACGAUCAGUAGCUGGUCUGAGAGGAUGAGCAGCCACACUGGGACUGAGACACGGCCCAGACUCCUACGGGAGGCAGCAGUGGGGAAUUUUCCGCAAUGGGCGAAAGCCUGACGGAGCAACGCCGCGUGAGGGAGGAAGGUCUUUGGAUUGUAAACCUCUUUUCUCAAGGAAGAAGUUCUGACGGUACUUGAGGAAUCAGCCUCGGCUAACUCCGUGCCAGCAGCCGCGGUAAUACGGGGGAGGCAAGCGUUAUCCGGAAUUAUUGGGCGUAAAGCGUCCGCGGGUGGUCAGCCAAGUCUGCCGUCAAAUCAGGUUGCUUAACGACCUAAAGGCGGUGGAAACUGGCAGACUAGAGAGCAGUAGGGGUAGCAGGAAUUCCCAGUGUAGCGGUGAAAUGCGUAGAGAUUGGGAAGAACAUCGGUGGCGAAAGCGUGCUACUGGGCUGUAUCUGACACUCAGGGACGAAAGCUAGGGGAGCGAAAGGGAUUAGAUACCCCUGUAGUCCUAGCCGUAAACGAUGGAUACUAGGCGUGGCUUGUAUCGACCCGAGCCGUGCCGAAGCUAACGCGUUAAGUAUCCCGCCUGGGGAGUACGCACGCAAGUGUAAAACUCAAAGGAAUUGACGG